UCUCUCAGAAAAAAAAAACAUCGACUUCUCCUCCCAUUUUUUUCAUCUCUUCUAAUCCUAAAAUCCUAAACCGAGAUCUGCGAAACCUAAGUUUUCAUAAAUUAAAACCCAUUUCUUCUAAACCCUAAUCUUAUAAAUCAAAUCUCAUCUUUCGGAAGUCAAACCCAAUCUUUCAAUAACGCAAACCCUAGAAAUCAUUUUCUUCUGUAAAAUCAAAUGACUCUGUAAGAUGUUCUUGGUUCCAACCUGAAGUUACCUUCUCUAUUGAUGAAAUAGUGGAUCCUUCUGGUUUUGUGGUCGUAUGUAGUGUUGAUGAUUUUGCUGGUGAAAGUGGUAUGUAGUGUUGCUUAGAAUUGGUGGUAUGGUUGGUGCUGCUGAAUUUUGUGUUUAGUUGGUGGUGCAGCCUCAUUUGGUCGGUGUUUGUGACGAAUCCCCGGAUCUUCUAUGAGAAUGACUGGUGUUGGUGUUGGUAAUGCAAGUUAAAGUUGGAGAUUUCGUAGCAAUUGGUGGAUAUUUUUUGUUCUUAGGGGUUUGUUGCAGUGGGUGGAGAUGUUGUUGGUAGUGGAGGUUUGGUGUCGAAGCUGGUGGUUCUGCCGCUGUUAGCGUAUGGGUGGUAGGUUCUUUACAGUGAAAAUUAUGCAGACAAGAAGCUAUGAAGUUCUUCACAGAUAUCUAAAAUGUCUUUUGGUGAGAAAAAAAACCCCGUUACUUGAUGCAAGCGUAGCUGUUUUUUGCUCUUUUAGAUGAAUUUAAAAUGUGAUACCUAAUUUUCUCAUUAGAUAGAUUUCUUAGUCCAGACCAUUAAGUUUCUGUGGAUGUAUUGCAGAUGGAACCAGGUGAUAAGAAAACCUGGCAGCAUCCUCCUGCACAUGGAAAUGGACACUACAUUCUCAAUUCAACACCAAAAUAUGUUAUUGGAUAGGGAGGGGAGUGAUAGUGAUGAUGCUUAGAGCUCAGAUGAAAAAGAGACAACUCCUACUCCCAAGGGAUAGAAGAGACCUGCACUACUUCAGACCUUUCUCAUAAGGACUUGGCACUUAUGUAACAAUGAUGUUACAGGGGUUGUCUUCAACUUAGAGUGAAGAUCGUAUAAUCCAAUGUCCAUAUUUCAGAAUCUUUUUCCUAUACAUAUACUUAUCUUCAAUAUUGAUAGUGUUGUUACUCACUUAGUAUAAUCCGUCAAAACUGCAAUUUGAAUGAUAGCAUGUUAAUAAUGUCAUUCCAUGGAGAAUUUGUUUUUAUGCUACUUUCUCAGUUCUUAUCGAUUUCUUUAUUUUCUCAUUUCAAUAUGAAAAGACGAGAAGGUUAUUGGGGUAUAUAGUGAGAAGCCAACCGUUCAAAGCAAUAAAAAACCGGAGAAGGGAGCAUGAAAAUGCAUCAUUUACAUAGGAAAAGAAGUUGGCUUACUUCUGUACAGCCAUUUCUACUCCAAACCAUCUUUCUCUUUGUUGGCGCUGUUGCUAAUGCUGGAAUCCCAUACCUCGACACUUGGACAUUCAUGUGUAACUUCAAGUGCUUCUACUUGAGAUGAGGUAAUUUUUUUCACAUCAAACUUGGUUCCAUUUUCAAGAGUACCUUAUGCCAUAGCUCUGUACAUGAAGUGGCAUUACCCUAUAGCAAUGCGAUGAAAUUUUGUGUGAUAUGAUCUAUGUGCUUGUAUGGUUCGAUUUGAUGGCCCUGUGACUAUACCUGCUAGUGUUUCUUGAUGUUGUGAACAUUAUCUAUUAUAUAGUCAUU